GAUGAACGCUAGCGGCAGGCUUAACACAUGCAAGUCGAGGGGUAUUAGGAGCUUGCUCCUAAGCGACCGGCGCACGGGUGCGUAACGCGUAUGCAACCUACCUUGAACAGGGGGAUAGCCCAGAGAAAUUUGGAUUAAUACCCCAUGGUAUAUUAGAAUGGCAUCAUUUUAUUAUUAAAGUCACAAAGGUUCAAGAUGGGCAUGCGUCCCAUGAGCUAGAUGGUAAGGUAACGGCUUACCAUGGGUACGAUGGGUAGGGGUCCUGAGAGGGAGAUCCCCCACACUGGUACUGAGACACGGACCAGACUCCUACGGGAGGCAGCAGUGAGGAAUAUUGGUCAAUGGGCGCAAGCCUGAACCAGCCAUGCCGCGUGCAGGAUGAAGCAUCUAUGGUGUGUAAACUGCUUUUAUACGGGAAGAAACCCUGCCACGUGUGGCAGAUUGACGGUACCGUAGGAAUAAGGAUCGGCUAACUCCGUGCCAGCAGCCGCCGUAA
rnacentral:rRNA from 1 species